UGCAUUCCUGCACCCAGAGACCAGCCAGAGGGACUUUCCUGCCAAUCUGUGCCAUUGACCAGCCUGUGGAAAAGGGACCAUCUUACCAGCCUGUUGCAGAGGAACCAGCCAUAUAAUAGUUUUAAACAAAUCUCAACUGGGUUACCAUAAAAAAGAUGGAUUUUUCCUCACAUGCCAAGUUUGUGAAAUGAGCUGACAAUGCCCUUCUGCCCUUCAACAACAAAAUUCCACUUCUUCCAGUGAGAAGGAGGUCUUGGAUUGCGAAGAUGGAUCAGAAUGGAUACCUCCGCUGCCUCCUCAGUGCCCAGUGUCUGUACAUGCGCAGAAACCAGCAACGGAAGUGGACCAUUCACACACGUGUCUCUACCUCAAAGAAGCAUUUCUGAGGUGGCUCACUCCAUUGCAUGAUGUCAUGUUUCGGGGGGCAAAAGGCGGCAGUGAGUCAUGCUCUGGCACUGGUCUUCAGAAUUGCCACAAGUCGGAGGUCCAGGUGAGUGGGAGUCAUAAAUAAUCAGUGGCUAAGAAGUAGCGUGGACAACAAUUACAUUAAAACUGCUCAAAUGGCAGUAGCACAGACAGCUAUAAUGGAGGAGGGGAUACUUGUCUCAUUAGCAUGAAUACAUCCUGCUACUUGCCGACUGGUAAAGUGACGUGGUUCUUUCCCAAACACCCACCAAUAGCCAUUUAUUAAUAUUCCUCUAGAUCACAAAGGAGUCAUCUUCACGAAUAUGCUGCUAUGCUGCAAAAUGUAUCAAUGAACUAAAUUAGGACCAGUUGUGAACCAUCCAUUCAUCCCCAACUAUUAAAUGAAUGCAAAGCAAUUAAAUGUUUAUUUUGUUUAUAUAUCAUUAUUAAUUUUUUGCAUGAGAAUAUAUGUGUUUUUAUAUUAUUUACACAAGCUGUGGUAAGAAGGGACAUACCUUGCCGCAGCAAGUUAUUCUGUCUCCCACCUGCCUCGGAAAUGGUCUCUGACUGGCUCAGAGACCCCUGUGUUCCCCCGUCCACCUUUCC